AGGGCCCCCCGUUGUAUUAUCUCGUAGGUGAGGUAGCGGCUCCCCUGGGCCCGCUACACAUAGGCGACCUGAGAGGGGUGUUUGGGCCACACUGGGACUGACACACGGCCAAAAACUCCUGCGAGAGGCAGCAGUAGGAAAAUCUUCGGGCUAUGCACGGAAGUCUGCCCGAAAAACCCCGCGUGAGUGAAAGAAGGUUUUCAGAUCGUAAAUCUCUUUUAUAAGUUAAGAACGAGUGAGAGAGGGGAAAGUUAACUCUGAGACGAUAGCUUCCCGAGAAAGGGACGGCUAACUACGUCCCAGCCGCCGCGGUAAUAUGUGUGUCCCGAGCGUUGUCCGGUUUUUUUGGGCGUAAAGAGAGCGCAGGCGGUUUGAUAAGUCUGAAGUUAAAGGCUGGGGCUCAACCAUAGUUCGCUUUGGAAACUGUCAAACUUGAGCGCAGAAGGGGAGAGUGGAAUUCCAUGUGUAGCGGUGAAAUGCGUAGAUAUAUGGAGGAACACCGGUGGCGAAAGCGGCUCUCUGGCUUGUAACUGACGCUGAGGCUCGAAAGCGUGGGGAGCAAACAGG
rnacentral:rRNA from 1 species